GACCAUUUUACCCUUAUGUGCAUUGCACAUGACAAAAAUUAACUAAGAUAUUAAACCAGGUUUUGCCUAAAGGAUAAAACGUGAAAGAUUUUGAAAGGUUAAGGACACCGCCUGUAAACUUUUGGCCAAAAGGACAGCGCCUGCAAUUUGAUGUAAACAUAAAGGAUAAAACUUGUAAUUUGCUCUUACUUUUAUUUUGGAUGACUAUAAAACCCCUCUUAAAUUACGAUAUGUGCAGGCAUCUGAUGUGUGGUGGUGAUGGGUGAUGGUGGUGGUGGUGGCGACAGGUGGUUUUAAUUAUAUAAAAACCUUUUUAAGCGUAUAUUUAUUUAUUAUUUUUUAAAUAUUAGGGUUAUGAGACAAUUAUACCCUUGAACAUGAUCUGAUUGAACCCAAAAUCUAACCGUCAUUAGUAAAAUAGACUUAAACUGUUACAAACUAUGAAAAUAAAGUACGUUUUUCUGACAAUUUUAAAGUUACAUGACAUAUAUUGAAAAAUGAUACAAACAUGAAUGACAAAAAAUGUAAUUUAACCUAUAUAAUAUCUGGCUAUUAAAAGAACUUUAUGCACCUUGUCUUAUGUUAUGUGACAUAUUAUUCGGCAAUCUAUACUAUAUAAUA
rnacentral:lncRNA from 1 species